rnacentral:rRNA from 1 species
AUUGAACGCUGGCGGCAUGCCUUACACAUGCAAGUCGAACGGCAGCAUGGAGAGCUUGCUCUCUGAUGGCGAGUGGCGAACGGGUGAGUAAUGCAUCGGAACGUACCGUGUAGUGGGGGAUAACGUAGCGAAAGUUACGCUAAUACCGCAUACGCACUGAGGUGGAAAGCAGGGGAUCGCAAGACCUUGCGCUAUACGAGCGGCCGAUGUCAGAUUAGCUAGUUGGUAGGGUAAAGGCCUACCAAGGCGACGAUCUGUAGCGGGUCUGAGAGGAUGAUCCGCCACACUGGGACUGAGACACGGCCCAGACUCCUACGGGAGGCAGCAGUGGGGAAUUUUGGACAAUGGGGGCAACCCUGAUCCAGCCAUGCCGCGUGAGUGAAGAAGGCCUUCGGGUUGUAAAGCUCUUUCGGCCGGGAAGAAAUCGCACAGGCUAAUACUCUGUGUGGAUGACGGUACCGGCAUAAGAAGCACCGGCUAACUACGUGCCAGCCGCCGCCGUAACAC